UGGCGAACGGGUGAGUAACACGUGAGUAACCUGCCCUUAACUCUGGGAUAAGCCUGGGAAACUGGGUCUAAUACCGGAUAGGAGCGUCCACCGCAUGGUGGGUGUUGGAAAGAUUUAUCGGUUUUGGAUGGACUCGCGGCCUAUCAGCUUGUUGGUGAGGUAAUGGCUCACCAAGGCGACGACGGGUAGCCGGCCUGAGAGGGUGACCGGCCACACUGGGACUGAGACACGGCCCAGACUCCUACGGGAGGCAGCAGUGGGGAAUAUUGCACAAUGGGCGCAAGCCUGAUGCAGCGACGCCGCGUGAGGGAUGACGGCCUUCGGGUUGUAAACCUCUUUCAGUAGGGAAGAAGCGAAAGUGACGGUACCUGCAGAAGAAGCACCGGCUAACUACGUGCCAGCAGCCGCGGUAAUACGUAGGGUGCGAGCGUUAUCCGGAAUUAUUGGGCGUAAAGAGCUCGUAGGCGGUUUGUCGCGUCUGUCGUGAAAGUCCGGGGCUUAACCCCGGAUCUGCGGUGGGUACGGGCAGACUAGAGUGCAGUAGGGGAGACUGGAAUUCCUGGUGUAGCGGUGGAAUGCGCAGAUAUCAGGAGGAACACCGAUGGCGAAGGCAGGUCUCUGGGCUGUAACUGACGCUGAGGAGCGAAAGCAUGGGGAGCGAACAGGAUUAGAUACCCUGGUAGUCCAUGCCGUAAACGUUGGGCACUAGGUGUGGGGACCAUUCCACGGUUUCCGCGCCGCAGCUAACGCAUUAAGUGCCCCGCCUGGGGAGUACGGCCGCAAGGCUAAAACUCAAAGGAAUUGACGGGGGCCCGCACAAGCGGCGGAGCAUGCGGAUUAAUUCGAUGCAACGCGAAGAACCUUACCAAGGCUUGACAUGUUCUCGAUCGCCGUAGAGAUACGGUUUCCCCUUUGGGGCGGGUUCACAGGUGGUGCAUGGUUGUCGUCAGCUCGUGUCGUGAGAUGUUGGGUUAAGUCCCGCAACGAGCGCAACCCUCGUUCCAUGUUGCCAGCACGUCGUGGUGGGGACUCAUGGGAGACUGCCGGGGUCAACUCGGAGGAAGGUGAGGACGACGUCAAAUCAUCAUGCCCCUUAUGUCUUGGGCUUCACGCAUGCUACAAUGGCCGGUACAAUGGGUUGCGAUACUGUGAGGUGGAGCUAAUCCCAAAAAGCCGGUCUCAGUUCGGAUUGGGGUCUGCAACUCGACCCCAUGAAGUCGGAGUCGCUAGUAAUCGCAGAUCAGCAACG
rnacentral:rRNA from 1 species